rnacentral:rRNA from 1 species
UACGGGGGGUGCGAGCGUUGUCCGGAAUCACUGGGCGUAAAGGGCGCGUAGGUGGUUUGAUAAGGGUGUGGUGAAAGUCCGGAGCUCAACUCCGGAUCUGCCGUGCCGACUGUCAAACUCGAGGGCUGUAGAGGCAGACGGAAUUCCGGGUGUAGCGGUGGAAUGCGUAGAUAUCCGGAGGAACACCGGUGGCGAAGGCGGCUUCCUGGACCGACACUGACGCUGAGGCGCGAAAGCUAGGGGAGCGAACAGG